GAUGAAGAACGUAGCGAAAUGCGAUACGUAAUGUGAAUUGCAGAAUUCAGUGAAUCAUCGAAUCUUUGAACGCAUAUUGCGCUCUCUGGUAUUCCGGAGAGCAUGCUUGUUUGAGUAUCAGUAAACACCUCAACUCCCCUUUCUUUUUUUGAAAUGGGAGCUGGACUUGAGUGAUCCCAACGCUUUUCUCACCGAAAAGUGGCGGGUUACUUGAAAUGCAGGUGCAGCUGGACUUUUCUCUGAGCUAAAAGCAUAUCUAUUUAGUCUGCCUAAAAAACAGAUUAUUACCUUUGCUGCAGCUAACAUAUAGGAGAUUAGUUCUUGUGCUGACUGAUGCAGGAUUCACAGAGACAGCUUCGGCUGGCCUUUGUAAACUCGAUCUCAAAUCAAGUAAGACUACCCGCUGAACUUAAGCAUAUCAAUAAGCGGAGGA
rnacentral:misc_RNA from 1 species